rnacentral:rRNA from 1 species
UGGGGAAUCUUCCGCAAUGGACGAAAGUCUGACGGAGCAACGCCGCGUGAGUGAAGAAGGCCUUCGGGUCGUAAAGCUCUGUCGUUUGGGACGAACGUGGAUUGAGUGAAUAAUUCAGUCUAAUGACGGUACCAAAGGAGGAAGCCACGGCUAACUACGUGCCAGCAGCCGCGGUAAUACGUAGGUGGCAAGCGUUGUCCGGAAUUAUUGGGCGUAAAGGGCGUGUAGGUGGAUUCUUAAGUCGUGAGUCUAAGUGCGGAGCUCAACUCCGUAUAGGCGCAGGAAACUGGGAAUCUUGAGUGCAGGAGAGGAAAGUGGAAUUCCCAGUGUAGCGGUGAAAUGCGUAGAUAUUGGGAGGAACACCAGUGGCGAAGGCGACUUUCUGGACUGUGUCUGACACUGAGGCGCGAAAGCUAGGGGAGCGAACGGGAUUAGAUACCCCGGUAGUCCUAGCCGUAAACGAUGGGUACUAGGUGUAGAGGGUAUCGACCCCUUCUGUGCCGGAGUUAACGCAAUAAGUACCCCGCCUGGGGAGUACGGCCGCAAGGUUG